ACUUAAGUAUGAUCAAAUAGCAGUUGGUAGAGCAUGAGACUCUUAAUCUCAGGGUUGUGGGUUCAAGCCUCACAUUGGGUG